CGCUGUUAUUCAGCACAUUGAUCUGUAGAGAUUGUGUUUACGUAACGCCGGCGUUGAAGUUCUCACGCGCUUGCCAAACACUUUUUUUCGUGUUGUCAUGUUUUUGAUAAUAGCUAAUUGGAUUUCGUAUUCUCGUGUGACAGCCUUUAACAAGCUUGCCUCUGACAUUAACCAAGAAACAGAAAAUAUCAAUAAAUUUAAAUGAAACUAAAAGCAAAAUAAAUUACCUUAAAUGUAUCAUUAACGCAGUUUCUUAAGAUCCCAUUACAGGCCAUAUCCAUUGAGAUUCGCCUUCAGAACAAUACGGUUAUCCCCCCAUUUUCAUACAUUUAACAGUGGUCAAUUAUACCACUUGGAAUGGGAUGAGUUACCAACCUCCAAUUACGAGAGCUAUGGUGCCAGGAAGAGAGACCAUGUGUAAGGCAUGCAUUGCUGUAGCAGAUGAUGUGGUUGUCAGAUGAAGCACCUAAAGUUAUUAAAGAGAGCAGUGAAGUAGCUAAAAUUAGUAUAUGUGGGCGAGUAUCUUCCACCUUAAUGGCACAUAGCUCAAAAUCCUGCUCCAUAAUAUUUUUUAAUGUACAGAGCUUUGAAUGAAAACUAGUUUUUACAAUUAUAAAACUAUCUCCUCUUCCAAAAUUACUUUUACAAAAUCAGGCUGCUUGAGUAAAGCUAUCAAAGUGGGGACAAAUAGUCGUUGUCAUGUUCUGGUGUUUUGUGAAGCAUGAAGGUUAAAACAUUUGCAUUUUUUAUCACUUCUGCUCGUAUUAAGAGAACGAGAAUUUGAUUAGUUUUGCUAAGAAAUGUUUAUAUGUUUUGAAGAAAAUUGUCAUUGUUGCAUCACUCAAAAUUUGUGUAGAUAUACCAAAAAAAGGCUUGUGAAGGCUCUAAAUCUGUGCAUUUGCUAUCAGCUGCUUUGCUUAGAUCAUUUUGAGCCUGGACUUUACCAUCUUCUGAUUUAUGAUAUGCAUUUUGUUUUCUUUAAUUGAUGCAUUCUACAGAGCACAUACUUACUUACCUAACCUGUUGAGGUGCAAGCAAUGGUUAAUCAACAACUAUUUACAGCUAUAAAACAGAUAUUCUUGAAGUGUUUGCAAUUCUUUUAAUAUGACAGAUUAUUUGGGCAACAGCAUCACUUACUUAGGACUUGGGUAGCAAGUAUUUUGUUUACAGAACAUUCACAGUAAACAUAUUUGGUGUAAAGAAAUACCAAAAAUUUCUCCUUCAGCAUUUAUAUGACAUGAGUUUUUGUGUGUCUUCAUGAGCCUUAUGACAUACAACAGUACCUUUUAAAUUACUUUUUACAAUUUCUUACUUGCCAGUCAUGUGACUGUCAGCAACCAUAUAAACUCAUCUAGUGGCAGUUUUGUUAAUGUCAACAAUAUUUACUGUUCCGAGAACUAUUAAUUUAUUCAUGUGAGUUAAUUUCUGAUCUUUCAGUGUUGCCCAUUGAACUGUCAGAAAUAUUUACAGGAAUCACACAAAAGGAACUUAAAUAGUAUUUGAUUUUGUGUCAUGACUAGCAAAAUGAGGGAGAUUUGUAUUUUGACCUACAUAUACUUUAUUUAUUUAUUUUGAUCCAACAUCAGAUGAUUACAAAAAAAUUGUUCCAGUCAAAUUUAGUCAUUAUGUAAACAGUUUUUUAGAUGUAGGCUAGUAAAUAAACUAUUCCACUUAAAACACGUAAUUACAAAAUGAUAGAUGAAUGAGUAACCAAUUUUUUUAAAGAUGGUAGUUUCCUAAUGUACAGAAGUAUGUGGAAAUAAACCUGAUUUUAUGAUUGU